rnacentral:rRNA from 1 species
UGGGGAGUAUCGGACAAUGGGCGAAAGCCUGACCCAGCCAUGCCGCAUGAGUGAAGAAGGCCUUUGGGUUGUAAAGCUCUUUUAGUGAGGAAGAUAAUGACGGUACUCACAGAAGAAGUCCUGGCUAACUCCGUGCCAGCAGCCGCGGUAAUACGGAGAGGGCUAGCGUUAUUCGGAAUUAUUGGGCGUAAAGGGCGCGUAGGCUGGUUAGUAAGUUAAAAGUGAAAUCCCGAGGCUUAACCUUGGAACUGCUUUUAAAACUGCUAACCUAGAGAUUGAAAGAGGAUAGAGGAAUUCCUAGUGUAGAGGUGAAAUUCGUAAAUAUUAGGAGGAACACCAGUGGCGAAGGCGUCUAUCUGGUUCAAAUCUGACGCUGAGGCGCGAAGGCGUGGGGAGCAAACA